UACACCAGUAUAAACACCCCAGUGAUUCACUGCCUCCUGGUUUUAGCUGCACGGGUUUGUAAAGCCAGCUGAUAGAUACAGCAGUGAGGACUGUCCUUCCCUUCUCUGGGCUUCUGGGCUCUUCACUUCCAGCCUGUGGCACUUCUCCGCUCCGCAGUCCACCCCACUGCUCGCUGACCCCAACACUGCGGUGCCAUGUGCAUCCCAAUGACUUCACCAGUGGGCAGCUUUAGUACAUUUAAACCACAGUUUACAAUUAAAGCUCCAAAACCAGCCACAGGCCGUCAUGUGGAGAUUGAGAAGGAGAUCUGGACAAAACGUGAAAAGGAUUUCUAAUUUGGGCUCAAGAAGAGAGAGCGAGUGAAAAAGAGGAGAAGUCAGAGAACACAAACAGUCUACUGACGAAGAACACGCCUUUGACGUCGUCCACUCCGACCAGCAUGUCUGGUGUUAAUCGAUACACACUGAGCUGCAGGAGAUCGAAGCCGCUGGCGCUCAGACUUGCACAGACCUGAGCCUCAUCCAGUGGUACGACAGGGAUCCGAACAUCAGGAGCUGCCAUGUAAAAGCUCUCCCCCAGAGCUCCAAUGAGCAGGAGGUGACCACCAUUACGCAGGAGGCUGGACAGGUUGCGUAGUGCGUGAGUGAACGAGGAAACGUCAGGACUCACACUUUCAAGGCAGAACGAGGACACGAGGCAGUCAGCACCGGAAGCAGGCAAAGAUCCGGGUGGGAAUGGGAACGGGUGGUGAACGUUAACAGGAAAAAUAUCUGUCACCACUGAACGAAGCCUCUCUGCUUUCUCUUGCCAUGCGGAGGAACUGUGUUAAAGCAUUAGGUUCAUUCAUGUUACUGUACAUUUUAAAAGAUAUACAGUCUACAGAAAAAACUGAUAGGUUAAAAGACUUGCCAUCAUAAAGUACUUGCAAAGUAAAGUGACCCUACUACCAAGAAAUAUUUAUUUCAGCCAUUAGGGACAAAAAAUUGCUUGAACAUUUCACAAACAGCUAAAAAUGAAAUAAUAUGGAGUUUGGAGGCUUAUGUUUUUGGAAGUAUUUGAACAUGAAUUCCAUAUAUUUGAAUUCUACACAUUACGUUAUAUUAAGUUUUUAUUGAGUGAACAAACUCAAGCUUUUAAUGAUCACAGUUGUCUCUCACUCUCGUGUUCAUGAAGUCAAGUCAAGAGACAGAGUAGAGUGGAGUCAAAACAGAAGAUAUGAACCGUAAUGAUUAACUCAUUAGCAUCUACAGUUUUUAUGUUCUACAGAAAGUCAGCAAUGUUAGCAUAGCCUAACUAGCUAGAACAUUACCAGAAUAGUUACACUGGGAAUCAAGUGUUUAACAUUACUGUAGAAAAUAAGCUAUUUUUUAGUAGAACAUGAAAGAAAUGAUUUGCUUGAAUAGUGAAAGUGUGUACUUUUCCUGGGAAUCCCAGACACCUAAUUUAGAUCUAGACCUAAUUUAGACCUAAUUUAGAUUUUUAUUUCUCAUUUUUUUUAAAUCUCAAAGCUGUAACAGUAAUUUAAAACUAUAUGUUUUUAAAAGCAAAUCUUACACUUAAACCCAAGUUCAAAACACAGAAAAAGCACUGGCAAAAUGUAUAUAAAUUGAAAUUCAUAUUCAGAUACUUCUGUCAGCUUCCGGACUCCAUACAAUAUGAUGUCAAGUGUAAAUACUGUAUUUUUGAAUAAAGAGGAUCAAUAAGAGACAGCCUUAA